AUAGAGGCCUACCAUGGUGGUAACGGGUAACGGGGUGUUAGGGCACGACACCGGAGAGGGAGCCUGAGAAACGGCUACCACAUCCAAGGAUGGCAGCAGGCGCGCAAAUUACCCAAUCCCGACACGGGGAGGUAGUGACAAUAAAUAACAAUACGGGGUUCUUUAGGAUCUCGUAAUUGGAAUGAGUACAAUUUAAAUCUCUUAACGAGGAACAAUUGGAGGGCAAGUCUGGUGCCAGCAGCCGCGGUAAUUCCAGCUCCAAUAGCGUAUAUUAAAGUUGUUGCAGUUAAAAAGCUCGUAGUUGAAUUUCGGGAUCAAUUUAUUGGUCGUGCUAUUGUACGUACUGGUAUUAUUGAUUCCUACCUUCUGACGAACCAUGAUGUCAUUAAUUUGGUGUCUUGGGGAAUCAGGACUGUUACUUUGAAAAAAUUAGAGUGUUUAAAGCAGGCUCACGCUUGAAUACAUUAGCAUGGAAUAACGAAAUAGGACGUUUGAUUCUAUUUUGUUGGUUUCUAGGAUCGACGUAAUGAUUAAUAGGGAUAGUUGGGGGCAUAGUAUUCAAUUGUCAGAGGUGAAAUUCUUGGAUUUAUUGAAGACUAACUACUGCGAAAGCAUUUGCCAAGGAUGUUUUCAUUAAUCAAGAACGAAAGUUAGGGGAUCGAAGACGAUCAGAUACCGUCGUAGUCUUAACCAUAAACUAUGCCGACUAGGGAUCGGAUGA
rnacentral:rRNA from 1 species